AUGGGGGACUGGAGCAUGCCCAUCAGCUCGCUGGGCGAGGAGGUGAUGGCCCGGCUCUGCCAGCUCCUGGAUAACGCUGGCCGGGGCUGGCGCAAGCUGGCCGAGGUGGCCGGGGCGGAGAAACGCUUCAAGUGCAGCGCAGAGGAGCUGGAGAUGUGCUCGCUGAAGGUGCUGGAGCCCCAUGGCAGCCCCACGGAGUGCCUCCUGCAGCUCCUGGCCGAGCGUGACUGCACCCUCAAAUACCUGCUGGGCUGCCUGGAGAGGAUGGGGCAUACACGGGCCUGCCAGGUUCUCAGCAGCGCUGUCCAGGACAUGAUCCGCAUCACAGUGCAGCCGGAGUCGCAGGUGGUGAUGGAGGGGAUGCGGGUGUUCCUGACCUGCUGGGCCACCGGUCCCCCGGGGCUCGCCUACCAGUGGUUCUGUGGGAAGCGGGAGGUGCCUGGAGCCACGGCCCCAGAGCUGGUGAUCAACGCGGCCACCCCGGGCCAGCCCGAGUGGUACAUCUGCCGGGUGAACUGUGGGGCCGCCUUCGCCUUCUCCAGGUGGGCCCACGUCCAGGUGGAGAGGAGCAGCAGCCCCAGCUCAGGUGGGCCCCAAGAUCUGCAUCCCUGGGCUGGCACCCAUGGGGUGCCAGGGCCUGUGGGCGAGGGUCAGCUCGGCGGAUGCAGAGCCAUCGGCAACCCCCCGCCCCAGUACCAGUGGUUCAGGAACCAGCGCCCUGUGGAGGGUGCACAGGCGCCCCGGCUGCAGGUGAAGCUGGUGACGACAGCCGAGCGGGGCUGCUACUCCUGCCGCGUGUUCAACCUCUUCCACGAGGUGUGGAGCCGGGAAGUGGACGUGGAGAUCGGCCCACGGCUCUUUGCCUCCGGAGGCUCCUGGCAGGAGGGGGAUAGAGUGCCUCCCUCUCCUGUCCUGGCAGCCACCGACAAAGUGGCCCUGCUGAUCGGCAACAUGCACUACCUGCACCACAAGCAGCUGAAGGCGCCCAUGGUGGACGUGCACGCCCUCAGUGCCCUCCUCCGCCAGCUCGACUUCAAGGUGGUCUCUCUGCUGGACCUGUGCAAGGCAGAGAUGCAGAUGGCUGUCAACGAGUUCCUCCUCCUCCUCGACAAGGGUGUCUAUGGUUUGCUCUACUACGCUGGGCACGGCUAUGAAAAUUUUGGCAACAGCUUCAUGGUGCCCAUCGACGCGCCCAGCUCCUACACAUCGGCCCACUGCCUGUGCGUGCAGCGGGUGCUGCAGAGCAUGCAGCAGCGCCGCACCGGCCUCAACAUCUUCCUGCUCGACAUGUGCCGCAAGAGGAACCUCAAUGACGACAUCAUCCCGCAGGUCGGUGCGCUGCAGGUCACGGCCAACAUCGUCUUCGGCUACGCCACGUGCGCGGACGCCGAAGCCUACGAGCUGAGCCAGGGCGAGCUCUCCAACGGCAUCUUCGUCUCCUUCCUCAAGCGCUGGCUGCUGGAGGAUGAGAAGAUCACGGUGUUGCUGGACAAGGUGGCAGAGGACAUGGGCACUCUGGAGAUCACACGGGGCCGGCAGGCGUUGGAGCUCCGCAGCAACCUCUCGGAGAGACGAGCCCUGACAGACCCCAUCUGCCCCCCGGGACAGGACGAGUCCUCUGCCAGGAACCUGCAGUGGGCCAAGGCUCAUGUCCUGCCGGAGAGCCGGCACCUCCGCUUCGACUGCGGCGUCACCGUCCAGCUGGGCUUCGCCGCCGAGUUCUCCAACAUCAUGAUCAUCUACACCCGCGUGGUGGCCACCCCCGGGGAUGUCACCGAGUGCGAGGCCAAGCUCACCGACAUUCCUGAGGAGCUGGAUGUGGACCUCAAGUGCACCAACAAGGAGACCCCGGAGGAGGUGGGCAGCCCGCUGGCGCCUACCUGGAGCCUUGACUGCCCCUCCAGCUGCCUCUACAGCCGGCUCUGUGGCUUGCAGAAACUGCGGCAGGAGCUGGUGUUCACUGUCUGCCUGCAAUACCGCUACCGCGGCAUGGACGACUUCGUGGAGGAGAGGCGGGUGGUGAACGUGGGGAAGCCGCUCAUCGCCAAGCUCAAUCUGCCGCUGGCAGCCUCCCCCUCGCCCCCCGGCAGCCCCCUCGCUGCCUCCUUCCCCGGGAGCUGGGGGGCGGCAGGGGGGUCCUGGGUCAACACCCCUGAGGAGAACCUGAGCCCUGAGGUCUCCGGCUCCCACACCCUGUAA
rnacentral:lncRNA from 1 species